UGGACAGGGAGACAGGUGGUGGCAUGGUUGUCGUCAGCUCGUGUCGUGAGAUGUUGGGUUAAGUCCCGCAACGAGCGCAACCCCUACGUUAGUUGCUAACGCGUGAAGGCGAGCACUCUAGACGAACUGCCGUUGACAAAACGGAGGAAGGUGGGGAUGACGUCAAAUCAUCAUGCCCCUUAUGUUCUGGGCUACACACGUGCUACAAUGGCCGGUACAGACGGACGCAAAGCCGCGAGGUGGAGCAAAUCCUAAAAAGCCGGUCUCAGUUCGGAUUGCAGGCUGCAAUUCGCCUGCAUGAAGUCGGAAUCGCUAGUAAUCGCAGGUCAGCAUACUGCGGUGAAUACGUUCCCGGGCCUU
rnacentral:rRNA from 1 species